AUGGAGUCUGCUGAUGUAGCCCCUGCCAGCUAUGUCACUUUUGCUUCCUUCUUUCUAAAGGGACCCGCAGCGCAAUGGUGGGACAGCCACAGGCGUACUCUGCCAGUUGGGACAAUCAUCUCCUGGCCAGACUUUCAGGCUGCCUUCCGUGCCCGCUUCAUUCCUCAGGGAAUCAUGGAUAGGAAGAAGCGUGAGUUCCGCAACCUCACACAGGGCAACAAAACUGUGGAAGCUUAUCAGCGGGAGUUUCUGGACUUAUCCCGCUAUGCUGAAGAAGACAUUGCAACUGAUGCUCGCAGACAGGAGAAGUUCCGUGAAGGCCUUCAAGCUGACAUCAAGCUCGCACUUCUAGUGCAUGACUUUGCCGAUUUCGCCACCUUGUGA
rnacentral:rRNA from 1 species